rnacentral:rRNA from 1 species
AGGAUGAACGCUAGCGGCAGGCUUAAUACAUGCAAGUCGAGGGGCAGCAUGGUGUAGCAAUACACUGAUGGCGACCGGCAAACGGGUGCGGAACACGUACAGAACCUUCCUUCGAGCGGGGAAUAGCCCAGAGAAAUUUGGAUUAAUACCCCAUAGUAUACCAGAGUGGCAUCACUUUGUUAUUAAAGAUUUAUCACUUGAAGAUGGCUGUGCGGCUGAUUAGGUAGUUGGCGGGGUAACGGCCCACCAAGCCUGCGAUCAGUAACUGGUGUGAGAGCACGACCAGUCACACGGGCACUGAGACACGGGCCCGACUCCUACGGGAGGCAGCAGUAAGGAAUAUUGGUCAAUGGACGAAAGUCUGAACCAGCCAUGCCGCGUGGAGGAUGAAGGUCCUCUGGAUUGUAAACUUCUUUUAUCUGGGACGAAAAAAGGUCUUUCUAGACCGUCUGACGGUACCAGAUGAAUAAGCACCGGCUAACUCCGUGCCAGCAGCCGCGGUAAUACGGAGGGUGCAAGCGUUAUCCGGAUUCACUGGGUUUAAAGGGUGCGUAGGUGGGUUGGUAAGUCAGUGGUGAAAUCUUCGAGCUUAACUCGGAAACUGCCAUUGAUACUAUCAGUCUUGAAUAUUGUGGAGGUUAGCGGAAUAUGUCAUGUAGCGGUGAAAUGCUUAGAUAUGACAUAGAACACCUAUUGCGAAGGCAGCUGGCUACACAUAUAUUGACACUGAGGCACGAAAGCGUGGGGAUCAAACAGGAUUAGAUACCCUGGUAGUCCACGCCCUAAACUAUGGAUACUCGACAUACGCGAUACACUGUGUGUGUCUGAGCGAAAGCAUUAAGUAUCCCACCUGGGAAGUACGAUCGCAAGAUUG